GAUUUUUUGUGGAUUGAUUGUCUCUGACUAGCAGGCUUUGUUUCUUCUGCCAUUAGGAUCCUUUGGGCUCGAGCUCUAGCCUGUACAGUCACCAAUGCCUGCAUACACCGAAGUGUAGCAGUGGCCUGUUUCCUUACAAGAAGACAUGUUAAUUUCCAGAUUAAAGAUAAAAAAAGAUCAAGAAUUGCGUACCAGAUAAGAACGGAAGACGGACUGAAUCUUUAUGGCAGCAGCCUCUUCAAUAGCACGUGUUUUCUGAUUGGCAACAGUUGUUAGGCGGAGCACAACAGCUGCAUCAGCAGCUACAGCUGCUGCCAAAGCCAUUGCAUGUUUCUUCUGCUCGUUUUCAGAAUCUGAUGUAGCCUGCACCGGGGGUUGUGAUGUGGCAGUCGGUUCUGUAGAAUUCAAGUCCCUUGGAGUUGGAGCUGUUGCUGUUGCUGAAGAUCUGCGAAAACUCCAUCGCCUUUUUUCUUUCUGAGUAGUUGGUGUGGUUGAAAUUGGAGUCACUGGAUUCUCAACACUAAUUGUUAGAUUCUGAUCAGUUGUAUAUUUUUCUUUAUCUUUCUUUCCUGUCAAGAAACUUCUAAGCCAUUUCCCAGCUUUCCCCAUUUCUAUAAUCUUUCUAAUCUAGGGUGCAUUGGAUUAUAGCAAGAUCAUAAAGAAAGAAACAAGUGAGAUGCAAACAGAUCUCUCCGUUUCUACUUAUAUUUUCAUAAGUAGCUUUCAACACUGUAGUGGUCCACCUUAUUACAACACUAUCUAAUUGCAUUCCCUUUUUUUUACUGCCUAA